rnacentral:rRNA from 1 species
UACAGAGACUGCAAGCGUUAUUCGGAUUCACUGGGCGUAAAGGGUGCGUAGGCGGCCGAGUGUGUGAGUUGUGAAAGCCCGGGGCUUAACCCCGGAAUUGCACCUCAAACUACACGGCUAGAGCAUUGGAGAGGGUAGCAGAAUUCACGGUGUAGCAGUGAAAUGCGUAGAUAUCGUGAGGAAUACCAGAGGCGAAGGCGGCUACCUGGACAAUUGCUGACGCUCAGGCACGAAAGCGUGGGGAGCAAAAGGG